AUCCAUCCACGUCCGCACCCCGUAACGGACGCACGCAGACUGACGCUGGAGCUGCGUACGCGCACGGUUCUUCGGUAACAUCUGCUAAAA